rnacentral:rRNA from 1 species
AUACGUAGGUGGCGAGCGUUGUCCGGAUUUACUGGGCGUAAAGGAUGCGUAGGCGGAUAUUUAAGUGAGAUGUGAAAUACCCGGGCUUAACUUGGGUGCUGCAUUUCAAACUGGAUAUCUAGAGUGCGGGAGAGGAGAAUGGAAUUCCUAGUGUAGCGGUGAAAUGCGUAGAGAUUAGGAAGAACACCAGUGGCGAAGGCGAUUCUCUGGACCGUAACUGACGCUGAGGCAUGAAAGCGUGGGUAGCAAACAGGAUUAGAUACCCUGGUAGUCCACGCCGUAAACGAUGAGUACUAGGUGUAGGAGGUAUCGACCCCUUCUGUGCCGCAGUUAACACAAUAAGUACUCCGCCUGGGAAGUACGAUCGCAAGAUUAAA